rnacentral:lncRNA from 1 species
UGCCAUUCUCCUGCCUCAGCCUCCCGAGUAGCUGGGACUACAGGUGCCCGGCACCACGCCUGGCUAAUUUUUUUUGUAUUUUUUAGUAGAGACGGGGUUUCACUGUGUUAGCCAGGAUGGUCUCGAUCUCCUGACCUCGUGAUCCACCGGCCGCAGCCUCCCAAAGUGCUGGGAUUACAGGUGUGAGCCACCACGCCCGGCCCGGGCUACGGCUUUUAAUUCAACCCAAAUGUAAAUUCUUCGCAUCAAGUUAGACAUUUGUGAAAGCUUUCUUUAAGACUCAGAAAGCAAAGAAUGACAUGUUAAAGGCUCUUCCAUUUCUGACUUCUUCUAGGGAUGUGCAGGACCAGGCCAGUGUUCAUGUGACGUUUUCAGUCCAGGGCACCAGCCAGAUCCUGGGCAUCUUUGCAUGUUCCCCCAGCACUCAGCACAUGAGAGGUGUUUGAUAAAUAUGUGAACAUGGAACAAAGACUGGAACUGAGACCAUCUUGUCUAAUUACAUUUUUAAAACAUCAUUUUUAUGGCUUUUCAUUUUCUCCGUUUAUUUUAUUUAAUUUUACUUUUUAUUUUAUUGUAUUGAGACAGGUCUCACUAUGUUGUCCAGGCUGGAGUGCCGUGGCUAUUCACAGGCAUGUGAUCAUGUUGCUCUAAAGCCUUGAACUCCUGGGCUCAAGUGAUCCUCCUGCCUCAGCCUCCCAAGUAGCUGGGAUUACAGCAUAUGCCACCACAACUGGCCUAUGACUUUUUAAAAGCCACAAGAGGCCGGGCAUGGUGGCUCACACCUGUAAUCCAAGCACUUUGGGAGGCCAAAGCAGGCGGAUCACCUGAGGUCACG